ACGCUCGACACCUACGGGAGGCAGCAGUGGGGGAUAUUGCGCAAUGGGGGAAACCCUGACGCAGCAACGCCGCGUGAAGGACGAAGGUUUUCGGAUUGUAAACUUCUUUUGUUAGGGACGAAGAAAUGACGGUACCUGACGAAUAAGCUCCGGCUAACUACGUACCAGCAGCCGCGGUAAUCUGAGCGGGCUGGCAAGGC
rnacentral:rRNA from 1 species